rnacentral:rRNA from 1 species
UACCUGGUUGAUCCUGCCAGUAGGUCAUAUGCUUGUCUCAAAGAUUAAGCCAUGCAUGUCUAAGUAUAAAUGAUAUACAGUGAAACUGCGAAUGGCUCAUUAAAACAGUUAUAGUUUAUUUGAUAAUUGAAAACUAUUUGGAUAACCGUGGUAAUUCUAGAGCUAAUACAUGCACAAAAACCUGACUUUUGGGAAGGGUUGUAUUUAUUAGAUAAAAUCAAUAUUCGUUUACGUCUAUUGUGAUGAUUCAUAAUAACUGAACAAAUCGCAUAGCCUUUGAGCGGCGAUGAAUCAUUCAAGUUUCUGCCCUAUCAGCUUUCGAUGGUAGUGUAUUGGACUACCAUGGCAUUUACGGGUAACGGAGAAUUAGGGUUCGAUUCCGGAGAGGGAGCCUGAGAAACGGCUACCACAUCUAAGGAAGGCAGCAGGCGCGUAAAUUACCCAAUCCUAAAUCAGGGAGGUAGUGACAAGAAAUAACAACACGGGGAUUUUUCCUUGUGAUUGGAAUGAAUACAAUUUAAAACCCUUAAUGAGGAUCCAUUGGAGGGCAAGUCUGGUGCCAGCAGCCGCGGUAAUUCCAGCUCCAAUAGC